ACAUUCCGAAAGGAUAUGCUAAUACCGCAUACGACCUACGGGGGAAAGCAGGGGAUCUUCGGACCUUGCGCUAAUAGAUGAGCCUAAGUCAGAUUAGCUAGUUGGUGGGGUAGGGGCCUACCAAGGCGACGAUCUGUAGCGGGUCUGAGAGGAUGAUCCGCCACACUGGGACUGAGACACGGCCCAGACUCCUACGGGAGGCAGCAGUGGGGAAUAUUGGACAAUGGGCGCAAGCCUGAUCCAGCCAUGCCGCGUGUGUGAAGAAGGCCUUCUGGUUGUAAAGCACUUUAAGCGAGGAGGAGGCUACUUGGAUUAAUACUCUAUGAUAGUGGACGUAACUCGCAGAAAUAAGCACCGGUUAACUCUGUGCCAGCAGCCGCGGUAUUACAGAGGGUGCGAGCGUNAAUCGGAUUUACUGGGCGUAAAGCGUGCGUAGGCGGCUU
rnacentral:rRNA from 1 species